GUAGGUGAACCUGCGGAAGGAUCAUUUCCGAACAAAACAUCAUAUCAACCAACCCUGUGAAAUGUUUUGGGUGCUCUUACUGGAGGGGGUAGCUGGAGUUGUUAUGUGGAGAUUUGCUGCGCAAGCGGCAGUCUCCAUCUAGCUCAUCUCCGAUUUUUUUUACCAACUCCAGGCCUUGAUGAACUACCUUGUAACAAAGGUUGAUUUUACAUUGUCUUUUCACUUUAGGAAAGUAAAUGAUAUGACAACUUUUAACGGUGGAUCUCUUGGCUCGU
rnacentral:misc_RNA from 1 species